rnacentral:rRNA from 1 species
CUGAUGCAGCCAUGCCGCGUGUAUGAAGAAGGCCUUCGGGUUGUAAAGUACUUUCAGCGGGGAGGAAGGGAGUAAAGUUAAUACCUUUGCUCAUUGACGUUACCCGCAGAAGAAGCACCGGCUAACUCCGUGCCAGCAGCCGCGGUAAUACGGAGGGUGCAAGCGUUAAUCGGAAUUACUGGGCGUAAAGCGCACGCAGGCGGUUUGUUAAGUCAGAUGUGAAAUCCCCGGGCUCAACCUGGGAACUGCAUCUGAUACUGGCAAGCUUGAGUCUCGUAGAGGGGGGUAGAAUUCCAGGUGUAGCGGUGAAAUGCGUAGAGAUCUGGAGGAAUACCGGUGGCGAAGGCGGCCCCCUGGACGAAGACUGACGCUCAGGUGCGAAAGCGUGGGGAGCAAACAGGAUUAGAUACC